AAACCAUGGUUCGGACUCCUAUCCAAGUAUUCUUUAUACCUCUCCCAAGCUUCAAAAAUUUGCUCCCCAUGAUGUUGUUUAAACUCGUAAAUCUAAUCACGAAUCU